CUUCUUUGAUACAUAUAUACCUUCGGUCAAACCAACAAAAAACCAAGUCAAAACUCCCUUUUUCACAGUAUUGGUUCGGCCCAAAUAAUCAAAGGCAGCCCAAUUCAAUAUUCUCUCUUCAAUCAAAUCAAAAGGACAGCCCCUUUUUCUCAAUUAAUAGUUCGGCACACAAGACUAAAGAAACCCUAUGUCUUAACCCUAAUAUAUAAUGUAAUGACACAAACCCUAAUAUUCACUAUCACGGCAGCCACACUUUCUCAAAGAAAUAUUCAAAAUAUUUCAAACUCUAUUCUCUCUUUCCUUCUAACGGCAGCAAAGAAAAUUUUUGGGUUAGGGUUACAAAAAUUUUCCUUUCUCUUCUUCUUCUUCUCUUGGUCUUAGGGUUUCUAGGGUUCUAAAACUUUAUUUUUCCUUCUUGCUUUCUCACAGCCGAAUCUACUACUAGAGAUUUCUUCAAGCUUUCUUCUUUUUCUCUACUAAUGGCAGCAAUGAAAUGGUUCUAAGGUUAGGGUUCUUCAAGAUAUUUCUUUUCUUCUUUGCAGCUUCUACCCGAACCAAGAACAACCCAAACAACCCACAAAGCUUCUACCCGAAACUAUGCCUAGAAAACUUUCUCACUCAAAACCGAACCCCAAAAACCCUCUCACCAUCUCUUUGGCCGAAACAUCUCUUUGGCCGAAACUAUGCAGAUUGUGAAUUGGACAAUUAGGGCUUACAGAGAGAUUUCACAUAAAUUGUUCUUUUUCUCUAAUGGUGUGCUUAUCGAAAUGUGUCGUUUUUAUAAAUAUUGUCGUUUUAGUUUUCCCGUGUUUAAAUUAAUAUAUAGUUUUGUUAAACAAGUGUCGUUUUUGAAAAUAAUGCUAGUUUAUUUUGUUUUCUUUGAAAUUUGUCGUUUUUUCCGAAUAAUGUCGUUUAUGGAAAUGAUUUCUUAGUUUAUGUCGUUUAUCGGAAAUAAUGCCUUAAUUUAUGUCGUUUUCUGAGAAAAUUGUCGUUUUUUAUAAAUAUUGUCGUUUUGGUUUUCCGUGUUUAAAUGAAUAUGUCGUUUAAGAAGUGUCGUUUUUUGAAGAUAAUGCUAGUUUGUUUCGUUUUCUUGGAAAUUUGUCGUUUUUUUUGAAUAAUGUCGUUUCUAGAAAUGAUUUCUUACUUUAUGUCAUUUUCUCUGAAACCUGUCGUUUAAUGAAUAAUGUCGUUAAUCGGAAAUCAUGUCUUAAUUUAAUGUCGUUUUCUAGAAAAGAUGUAAUUUCUCUAAAACAUUGUCGCUUCCGUUAAAAAAUGUCGUUUUAUUUAAAACAUGUCGUUUAUCCGAAAAAAGUCAUUUCUCCGAAAUGGUGUCGUUUUAAUGAAAAGAUGUCGUUUUCUGAAUAAUGUCAUUUUUACGAAAAAUUAUCGUUUUCCGAA